rnacentral:rRNA from 1 species
CGAGGGGAAUUGAAACAUCUUAGUACCCUCAGGAAAAGAAAUCAAUAGAGAUUGCGUCAGUAGCGGCGAGCGAAAGCGCAAGAGGGCAAACCCAGUGCUUGCACUGGGGGUUGUAGGACUGCAAUGUGCAAGAGGUAAGUUUAGCAGAACAUUCUGGAAAGUAUAACCAUAGAGGGUGAUAGUCCCGUAUGCGAAAAACAAACCUUAGCUAGCAGUAUCCUGAGUAGGGCGGGACACGAGGAAUCCUGUCUGAAUCCGGGUCGACCACGAUCCAACCCUAAAUACUAAUACCAGAUCGAUAGUGCACAAGUACCGUGAGGGAAAGGUGAAAAGAACUGAGGUGAUCAGAGUGAAAUAGAACCUGAAACCAUUUGCUUACAAUCAUUCAGAGCCCUAUGUAGCAAUACAGGGUGAUGGACUGCCUUUUGCAUAAUGAGCCUGCGAGUUGUGGUGUCUGGCAAGGUUAAGCAAACGCGAAGCCGUAGCGAAAGCGAG